GUAAUUUGCAGAGGAUGCUUCGGGUGUGGCCCCUGUCUAAGUGCCCUGGAACGGGCCGUCAUAGAGGGUGAGAAUCCCGUAUGGGAUGGGGUGCCCACGCCCGUGUGAAGCUCCUUCGACGAGUCGAGUUGUUUGGGAAUGCAGCUCUAAAUGGGUGGUAAAUUUCAUCUAAAGCUAAAUACUGGCCGGAGACCGAUAGCGCACAAGUAGAGUGAUCGAAAGAUGAAAAGCACUUUGAAAAGAGAGUUAAACAGCACGUGAAAUUGUUGAAAGGGAAGCGCUUGCGACCAGACUCGCCCGCGGGGUUCAGCCGGCAUUCGUGCCGGUGUACUUCCCCGUGGGCGGGCCAGCGUCGGUUUGGGCGGCCGGUCAAAGGCCUCCGGAAUGUACCGCCUCUUCGGGGGCGACUUAUAGCCGGGGGUGCAAUGCGGCCUGCCUGGACCGAGGAACGCGCUUCGGCUCGGACGCUGGCAUAAUGGUCGUAAGCGACCCGUCUUGAAACACGGACCAAGGAGUCUAACAUCUACGCGAGUGUUCGGGUGUCAAACCCGUGCGCGGAGUGAAAGCGAACGGAGGUGAGAGCCCCUCGGGGCGCAUCAUCGACCGAUCCUGAUGUCUUCGGAUGGAUUUGAGUAAGAGCGUAAAUGUGGGGACCCGAAAGAUGGUGAACUAUGCCUGAAUAGGGUGAAGCCAGAGGAAACUCUGGUGGAGGCUCGCAGCGGUUCUGACGUGCAAAUCGAUCGUCAAUUUGG
rnacentral:rRNA from 1 species